CAGGCAAUCGCCGCUUUCGUAAGAAAGGGGAGGAAAGUCCGGGCUCCAAAGGGCAGGGUGCCAGAUAACGUCUGGGCGGCGUGAGCCGACGACAAGUGCAGCAGAGAGAAGACCGCCUAAGCAUGUUUACAUGCCGGUAAGGGUGAAAGGGUGCGGUAAGAGCGCACCGCGCCUCUGGUAACAGAGUGUGGCAAGGUAAACUCCACCCGGAGCAAGACCAAAUAGGAUCCCUCAACGUGUGGCCCGCAUGGGGAUCGGGUG
rnacentral:ribozyme from 1 species